rnacentral:rRNA from 1 species
UACGGGGGGGUAAGCGUUGUUCGGAAUUACUGGGCGUAAAGGGCUCGUAGGCGGCCAACUAAGUCAUACGUGAAAUCCCUCAGCUUAACUGGGGAACUGCGUGUGAUACUGGAUGGCUUGGAUUUGGGAGAGGGAUGUGGAAUUCCAGGUGUAGCGGUGAAAUGCGUAGAUAUCUGGAGGAACACCGGUGGCGAAGGCGACAUCCUGGACCGGUAUUGACGCUGAGGCGCGAAAGCCAGGGGAGCAAACGGG